GGACCAAUCCAGAAGAAAAUCCAUGCAAGAGCUGCAGGACAGAUCCAGGAGAAAAUCCAUGCAAGAUCUGUAGGACCAAUCCAGAAGAAAAUCCAUGCAAGAGUUGCAGGACAGAUCCAGGAGAAAAUCCAUGCAAGAGCUCUGCAAGGACAGAUGCAAUAUUUGCAGAAUGUCACCUUGUAGUGUCCCUGUGGUUUCCAGGUGUGAAAGGAACCAAUAUCAGCCCUUCCAUCUGUCCUGUCUGCUCCAGAUCCAAGCCCAGCUCUGUCCCUGACGCCUUGGAGGCACUUAUGGACUGCACAGAAGGCUCUGUGUGCACAUGCCAAGGUUUUCAGUGGAAAAGGCUGAAGAUCAGCUCCUGACCUUCACCCUGAAGUGAUUUAGGAGGGCUCGACUCCCGAACUUCACCCUGUGGUGAUUUAUGAGAGCUCAGCUCCUGAACUUCACCCUGGAGUGAUUUAUGAGAGCUCAUACACUCAUUUCCCCCAGCUCUGCUGGGAGGAUAACCCCAGAGGAGUGACAGAGCUGGAGUCUGGCUGGCAGCUGCCUGAGCCUCGGGCUAGAGUUUGGCUGAACUGAGCUUUUCCCAUCUGCAGGAUGGUGCUGAUAAUCCUCUUACCCGCUGAGAAUUUGGUGCUCUCCUCCGGAGGAAAGCACAAGGUGAGAGUAUCUGGUGCUGAUGACCCAGUGAGUGUUUGGCAGACACAUUUUUGACUGUCAGAGAUGCUGUUGGAAGCCUGUGCCAGCUGCCCUCUUGGGAAGAAGGAGGACAAUGCACAUCAGUGUCAUCUUUAGAGAGAAAGAUGCCAGAAGAGUGGAAGGAGGCACUACCAGAGGAAGAAAUUCACAUUCUCAACCAGCUGAAAGAGAAAACAAUGUGUUAACUACUAUUUGAAGAAAUAUAGAAAAUACAGCAACAAACAGAUCCAGGAUACCCAGCAGGGAGGCGCUUUGUUUUUAUUGGCUCCAGGGUGUUCUCUUCUGGAAGGGGAAUUGAACAAUCUCCAAAACCCGCCAGGCAAUGGAAUUGCAGGGACACACUAUCAGUGGGCUUUAAUAAGUGAGCUGCUCAUGGAAAGGGCUGCCCUGGAGGAGGAAGUUCUGGGCUGAGCUGAAGAUAUUUAGCAGAUGGGGAGGAUUAUUGUAAUCUUUAUCCAAAACAGCAAAUAUUUCAUUCUGCUCUAACCAAACCAGAGGCCCAAGUAGAGUGGCCAGCCUGGAGGUGUAAAUGGAAGGAAUAUUAUGGUAAUGGAAGAGAGAAGAGGCGAGGAAAGCUUGAGAAGUGCUGGGUUAGAGGUUCUGCAGGACAGGAGAGAACUCGUUUUUAUUUGCUGAAAAACCUAAAUCCCCUGAGGUUCACCCUCAGGUAGAUCAUUCAUCCAGACAGCAAACCAUAGGAUAGAAUCCUAAAAUGCUUUGGGUUUAAAGGGGUCUAUUUCCACCCCACACCUUCCACCAUCCCAGGCUGCUCCAAGCCCCAUCCAACCUGGCCUUGGACACUUCCAAGGAUCCAGGGGCAGCCACAGCUUCUCUGGGAACCUGUGCUUGGGUCUCCCCACCUCCCAGGGAACAAUUUCUUCCCAAUAUCCCACCUAACCCUGCAUCUUUCUUGGGAUUGUUAUGGGGCCCUCUUAAGAGUCAACAGGUUUGACUCAUAAAAUUGAAAGAUGAAGUGUGGGCUGGUCCUCAAGGGCUAUAAGGAGCACAAUUACCAUCAAAAUUAAUCACUUAAUGAUUAAAACAUUAAUGUUUAACUUCUGGGAUGAGAUUCUUGGUUUUUAGGAAGCCAGAGAAUCCCCAGUUAAAUUCUGUGGAAUUCAUACAAGAUGUUGAGUACCUGGAGCAGGAAGUCUCAUGUUUACACUCAAUCCUCUCUUUUUAGAGCUGUAGCUUUUUGGCUGGGAUGGUUCUUCAAGCUGUACAUUUUUUUAACCACUAAAGCUUUAAUAUUUUGAAACAUAGUGAUGCUGCAUUUGAGCCAAUUCCAUAUUUUUUUGCCUAACACUGGGCAUAACUCACAGCAGACCUUUUAAUGCCAGUCAGUAGAAGGCUGGAAUCAAAUUUAGAGGAAGAGGGAAUUUUUUAUUUGCCUUCUGAAACCAGUUGGGUGAAAGAAAUCAUCUGCUGAAAAGCCAUGGAAGCUCAAAGGGCAUUUGGACAUCGUGGGUGAAGAUUUGUCAUCUCUCUCCAGCUCACACUGCUGCUCUUAGUCCAGCAAGCUCAGCCAUGGCCAUUAAUAUGCAAAACACACGUGCUCCUAAAUUAUGAAGUGAUAUUUUUGGAUUAUCAUGCCCAGCUAGGAGAAGUCUGCAUUUGCUGCAAAGAAAUCCGUGGAGGGCAUCAGCCCCGUGAGGGGAGAAAAUGGAACAUUGUGAAAGCUUUGCUGCAGCACAGCUGCUUUUCCCAUCUCCUUUUACUUGUUUGAGAAAGUUUGCAAUCCCAAAUUACACAGGGCAGGGAGGAAUCAUGUAAACACAAAUCUGGGAUAGCAGGGAAAACAUUGGCUUCAUGCUCUGAGGGCAGAAAACCUGGAAAACGGAACACUGGUUAAUGGUUAUCUCCUGUGAAGGGAUCACAGGGGGAGGUUAAAGUUUUUUCAGUGUUUUUUUAAUGAUAUCUGCAGUGUGAGAUCCAGGUUUUUAGGUUGGCCUCAAGUCUGAUAUAAAUAAAUGAGUUUGGAAAGUGAGCUGUGAAAUCUCAGUUUAUUCACAAGCUGGCUUCUCUCAGCUGCAAAAAACUUAACCCGUGUCAGGAUCCAGCCCAUGAAGGAGGUCAAAAUAUUCUGCUGGUGUUUAGUGCAGCCCACCUUCAUUUUUUACAGUUUCUGUAUUUCCUGAGGCUGGCACCAGCUGUUGGGACAAGCAGGCAAGAUGGGCAGGUUUGAGUUAUUUUUAUCCCCACAGCUGUUCAAUCAGACUCUCAUUUAGCAGCUCAAUUCUGCACAUAAUCUCAAUGUAAUUAGAAGGUUUAGGUAAAAUUCAGAAAUGUACUUAAAAUUUUGGUAAUUAUUAUUCUAGAAUCAGCACCGGUUACAAGCACAUAAUUAUGCUUGGUGUAGUACAAACUCAUUAUGGGAUAUAAUUCUGGCCUAUGUUGUUUGCAAUAGAGCUAAGAAUUUUCUUUUUGCACAAACCCUGUUUUGCAAAGAAUAUUUUUUAAAAAUCUAUCAGCUAAAGGACUGGGUAUAUUCCUGUAGAGUUCACAGUUUAAAAAAAAUAAAAAGCUUAUACCUUUGAAUAGUCUUAUAAUGUUGCAUUGGUGAUUUUGAACAAACUGUUGUUAAAAAAUUAUUCUGCUUUAAAGAGAAUAAUUAGGAUAAGUGUUGACUAGGAUGAAUGAAUUGGUUACCACAAAAUCAUUUUCCCCCUUUUUUGUUCAUUAAGAUAUUAAAGUUUUGGGGGCUGACCCAAAUAAUUUCUUUUCCAUAUUUCUGGUGGGUUUUUUUUUUUUUUGGCACUGCAAAGAAAACAAGAUUUAGCUUGCUUUAUUAAGUUGUGAAAAACAGAGAUUGAAUGAAUGAGGGACCUGGCAGGAAAACUCCCAGUAGCUUGAGGGAAAAUAUGGAAUUCCACUGGUUUCCAGCCCUGUGUUCCACCACUGGCUCAUCCUCCCUCCCUAAGACCUCUUGCAUUCUCUAGCAAUUAAAUCUGUGGCUUGAAACACAGAUAUCAUUCAAUUAAUAAAGUUUUUUUUUUUUUUUGCUCCAUCAUUAUUUAUUUAGAAUGACACAGUUCUUAGGUGCUGCUCUACCAAACUGUUUAUGAUCUGCCAGCACACCCCCAGCCAAGGAAUAUUGAUAAGUUGUUUUCCCCACACUUCAUCUUAUUUAUUUCACCUACCAGACAUGUUCGUGUACUCACUUCCUACUCUGGUGCUGCUCUGUGCAGAAAAAACCCCAAUAAAUUAAAAAUAUGUUAAGUGAGGGGGUAAAACCUAUGAAAACAUUAUUAUGGAUCAGUGCCCAUAUGGGUAUCCUGUCCUCAAUAUGUCUAAAGCACCUUCCCAGGGACAGGUAUUGGAAUAUGAGAGGUUUCCUUUAUAAAGUCUCCUAAAUUCCCCCAGGAUGAGUCUGGGUGUGAAUGGAGGCUUGGAGAACAUCCUGAGAUGUGUUUGCCUGGUUUAUGCAUUUUCCUUUUCUGAAUAUCUCCAAUCAUUUUUUGAAUUUAUCCAAACUUUUUGCUCCAAGCUGCUGCAGAGUUCCACAGUUCCAAAUCCCUUCUUCUGGCAUCUCCUUUGUUUGUAUUGAGCUGGGCACUCACUGGGUUGAUUUGUUCUGAAGUAAUUGCUACCCAAGAACAGAUUUGUUGCCUUUUCAUCUUCUCAGCCACUCCUCACAUCACUCUGGAUUCUGCAGGUCUCCAUCAUCCCUUCCUCAUUCAUCCCACUGCCAGGCUGGAUUCCAACCUGUCCUUUUGCUCCUUAUUCCAAUACCACCAAUCCAUGAUGGAUCAUCUCUUCAGUGAUGGAUUUUCCAUGAAAAUUUUACAGAAUUAUUAUAAGGUGACCAGAACCACACACAAUUUUCAAGAUAUGAGGACAUUACCCAUAGAAAAAUGCUUUAUAUUUUCUUCUUCAUUUCCCUAGAAUAUCUCUAAUUUAAUUUGCCUUUUUUUUUUUUUUUGACUGAUACUUCUGCUGAAUUAUCAUUUCCAUACAAGAAUUGCAGGCCCAAGACCUCAUUUUUCAGUACUAGCAGUGCCAGAGCCUGCCAUUGUUCAAUCCCUCACCAGCUCUCUUGAACCCCCUUUAAGGACUGGAAGGGGCUCUCAGGUCUCCUUGCAGCCUUCUCUUCUCCAGGAUGAAUAAACCCCUAUACCCACAGGAGAGCUGAAUGCUGUGAAUGGGUUUGUUUGAAUGCAGGUCCCAGUAGCAACCAAAUUUACAUCAAAACCUACCUGUUCUCUUAUGACUUUUCUAAAGAUUUAUCACAGCACUUGGUAAUGCGAGGAUAGAAAAAGGCUGCCAAGGGUUUUAAAAGGAAAAAUCAUCAUUUAAAUUAACAGCAAAAUACACAGACCUUCAGCAUAAAAAAAAAAUACAUCUCACCCGUUCACCUUAAAAAAUACAAAAAACUAGUAUUCAGUAGAGUCAAUAAAAGUUAAAUUUUCUUAUGUGUAAUCCACUGUUGGCUGAAGAACAGUAGCAUUUCAAAUAGAUUUGCUUAUUAAAAUGAAGAUAUCUUUUGAUAAAAUACCCUGAUUUCCUGGGAUUUCAAUUCUUGCACUUAGAAAUGAAAAGAAGUAAAGGCAGAAUUCAGUGAAAAUCUCCUUCCCUUCCCUUCCCUUCCCUUCCCUUCCCUUCCCUUCCCUUCCCUUCCCUUCCCUUCCCUUCCCUUCCCUUCCCUUCCCUUCCCUUCCCUUCCCUUCCCUUCCCUUCCCUUCCCUUCCCUUCCCUUCCCUUCCCUUCCCUUCCCUUCCCUUCCCUUCCCUUCCCUUCCCUUCCCUUCCCUUCCCUUCCCUUCCCUUCCCUUCCCUUCCCUUCCCUUCCCUUCCCUUCCCUUCCCUUCCCCCAUUUUUGGCAUUUUAGCAGGGACAGCUGUGCAGAGAUAUUGAGGGUGGAGGCCAAGGACUGAUGGUCCAGGUUGCCAGAGUUUUUACCAAAUUUGUGGGAUGGGACUCAGAAAUGUCCCAAUUUCUGGUUAUUUCAGUGGCAUUUGCAAGAACAGCUGUGGAGCACCAAAGCAGAACAAAGGGUUGGAACUAU
rnacentral:lncRNA from 1 species